rnacentral:lncRNA from 1 species
UAUUUUCUAAGUCAGGUAUGAGAAUAGGUAACACAACAUUUGGAAUAUCUUGUGAUGUUGUAAAAGGGAAGACAUAUUCAUAGAAUAUAACAUCUCUACUAAUAAAGAUGUUUCCAGUAGCUAAAUCAUAAGGCUUAUAGGCCUUAUUAUUGUUGGCAUAGCCAAUGAAAGCUGUCUGAAUGGAUUUUAUGCCAAUUUGUCUUUGUGAUUAAUGGUUUUCGUGGCAAAACAAAGGCAUCCAAACUUCUUGAAGUAGAAGAAUCAGGAACUCUCCCAUAGAAUCGUUAAUAAGGACUCUCCCACCCAAAUUGAGUCAUAGGAAGGUGUAGAGAUAAAUGUUGUUUAAUGUUGUAUAUUAUGUUAUUUUAAUAUAUGGGCAUAUUUACUGACCUCCUGUUGUAAGGAGCUUAAUAUGUCAUUGAGUUCAUUUAUUUUAAUAGAUGUGUCAGGUAUAUCAAGGGGUAUACCCUUUCCUUAAGGGAGAUCCUCAACAGCAGCUACUACCUUUUUUCAUGCCCUAUGUUUCUAUUUAUUUUGAAGGACUGCCCACUAAUCUUGGUUUUGAUUUUAAACCAGUCAGAGUAUCAUAUAAGUUUGAAACAACUAUCCUAACAGGGCCAUCCAUAUCAAAGUAAGAGCAAUGUCCCUUUUGAUAGUCAGGCGUUUUCUGUCUCCCUUGGUACUGUCCCUAUGUCCUAUUUAGCAGGAUAAGGGGUUCAAUAUUCCCACUCAUACUUUCUAAUAUUUUCUUUUGAGACUCAAACUUGAGUACCGUAGAGUAAGCCUUAUUUAUACAGGGUAGCGAGUCCAUACCAAGAAUCUGGUAUCUCACAACCCUGUAGGCAUCACUUAAACUCAUGAGAAACUACAUGAACUUGUUUCUAUUAUUUAUCUCAUCAAUGGCUUUGGAUGGUCCACAGGUACAUGGAGGAGGGUUUCCAUCUAUUCCAAUUCAUCCUAAAGCCUUUUUAGUUUUGUCAAAUAGACAGAUGUAGAUGCAUUGUCUUGAGAUAUUAAGGAGAUCUUCUUACGUAAUUCAUAGAUCAUGGUCCCAUUAUAUUCACUGAAUCUUUCAGUGAUUUCAAGCCAGAGGUCCCUAGCCAAGGCUGUGUAAAUGAAGCCAUCGACUCAUUCUUUAGAUAUAGAGUUUUGUACUGUAACAUCCUCUGGGCCCACAACAGUAGAUAUUGUCCGCUUUGGGUUCGAGGGCCUUGGCCCAGCCUUCCCCUCACGGUUUUGUUUCUCAGGGUUCAUGCAAGCUUCCUUCCCCUGAAAACGCGUCUACUGUGGUCUCUUAGGGCUUGCCCUUAUAAGGCGUCCCCCCUCCUUACCUCUUUCCGAUGUGGGAUACUUUCAAUCCACCUCAUAGGGCUUCUACCCCCCAUAAGGCCUGAGCGUCCUCGCUCAGCACACCGUACUCAUGAGGCCCAGGCGGACAAUAUCAAAAGAGCUAAGAAAUAAUCAUCAAUAUGUUUAACAAAGAGACAAUAAUCAUGAACAGAUUGAUUGAAAUUCAAGGACUUGAGAAAACUUAAGAACUCAAUAUUCCAUUGUCGAGAGGCUUGUUUAAGCCCAUAAAAAAAUAUUUUUCAGGUGGCAGACUUGCCCUAGCAAGGCCUUAUAAUACCUUUUGUGGAGGAUGCAUAUAAACUUCUUCUGCUAGAACACAGGCCAUUGUUUCUGAGUAGCCAAUGCAAUAAGAAUUCUGACAGCAGCUAGUUUUGUAGCAGGAGAAAACCUGUCUUUAUAGUCUAGGCCUUCUAUUUAGUUAUAGCCUUUAGCUACCAAAAGUCUUAAACUUAUCAAUUUCACCAUUGGGUUUGCAUCACACCUUGUACACCCAUUUACAAUCGAUGGCUUUCUUGCCUUUGGGUAAGGUUGUAGCUACCUAAGUAUUAUUUAGUUCCAAUGCAUGCAACUCAUGUCGCAUUGCAUUGAUUCAAUUAGGAUCUUGGGAUGCCUGAGCAUAAGUAGUAGGCUCUUGUGUGUGAAAAACAUUCAAUAUAUAGGUCUGGUGUUAGGAUGUAAGGCAAACAGAUGAGAGUGAAGGAUGGGCAAUAGUGGUUGCAGAAGCAAGGUUUAGUGGCUCUGGAUGACCUCCUAGGACCAGAAGAAUCAGAAAUAGGUGAAGAGUGAGAGAAAGGAGAGGAUAAGGGUGGGAACUGUGUAUUUUCUAAGUCAAGUAUGGGAAUAGGUAGCACAACAUUUGGAAUAUCUUGUGAUGUUGUAAAAGGGAAGACAUAUUCAUAGAACACAACAUCUCUACUAAUAAAGAUGUUUCUAGUAGCUAAUCAUAAGGCUUAUAGGCCUUAUGAUUGCUGGCAUAGCCAAUGAAAGCUGCCCAAAUGGAUUUUGUGCCAAUUUGUCUUUGUGAUUGCUAGUUUUCGUGGCAAAACAAAAGCAUCCAAACUUCCUGAGGUAGAAGUAAUCAGGAACUCUCCUAUAGAGUCGUUGAUAAGGACUCUCCCACCCAAAUUGAGUCAUAGGAAGGUGUAGAGAUAAAUGUUGUUUAAUGUUGUAUAUUAUGUUAUUUUAAGAUAUGAGCGUAUUUACUGACCUCCUGUUGUAAGGAGUUUAACAUGUCAUUGAGUUCAUUUAUUUUAGUAGAUGUGUCAGGCAUAUCAAGGGGUGUAUCCUUUUCUUCAGGGGGACUCUCAACAACAGCUACUACCUUUUUUCCAUGCCCUAUGUUUCUAUUUGUUUUGAAGGGCUGCCCACUAGUCUUGGUUUUGGUUUUAAACCACUCAGGGUAUCUUAUAAGUUUAAAACAACCAUCCUAAUAGGGCCAUCCAUGUCACAGUAGGAGCAAUGUCCCUUUUUAUAGUCAGGCUUUUUCUGUCUCUCUUGGUGUUGUCCUUGUGUUCUAUUUAGCAGGACAAGGGGUUCAAUAUUCCCACUCAUACUUCCUAAUAUUUUCUUUUAAGACUCAAACUUGAGUACCAUAGAGUAAGUCUUAUUUAUACAGGGUAGCGAGUCCAUACAAAGAAUCUAGUAUCUCACAGCUCUAUAGUCAUCACUUAAACCCAUAAGAAACUACAUGAGCUUAUUUCUAUUGUUUAUCUCAUCAAUGGCUUUGGAUGGUCUACAGAUACAUGGAGGAGGGUCUCCAUUGAUCCCAAUUCAUCCUAAAGCCUUUUUAGUUUUGUAAAAUAGAUAGAUGCAGAUGCAUUGUCUUGAAAUAUUAAGGAGAUCUUCCUAUGUAAUUUAUAGAUCAUGGUCCCAUUACAUUCACUGAAUUUUUCAGUGAUUUCGAGCCAGAGACCCUAGCCAAAGCUGUGUAAAUGAAGUCAUCGACUUAUUCUUUAGAUAUAGAGUUUAAUAUCCAGAACGUGACCAUGAAGUCACAUCGUUUCCAUUGUUCACAGGAAUCAGAUCCUUUAUCAGGCACAAAAAUUGUACCUUCUAUGAAUUCUAGUUUUUGCUUGGCUCUUAGGGCUAUCCUAAUGGCUCUAUACCAAGAUCAGAAAUUGGUUCCUAUCAGAGAAGCUAAAACUAAAACCAUACUUGGAUGGUCUGAAGAUUGGAGAGUAAGAGGAUAUCCAAGAUUUUGAGUCUCGAUCUGGCCUUUGUCCUUCUCCCCUGUGGUUGUGCCUUCUUUACUGUUAUGUCCUCAUUCUGCUAUUAUCGACGAGAUCUACUUAACAUGCAAGGCAGAUCUUGGUGUGAAGGUGUGAGAUCUAGUAAAAAGAAUGACUAAUUUUGAGGAGAAGGGAGAAGAUGAGGACAAGACAGGAAACUUAACCCGCUUUAAUAUCAUGUAGAGUGAGGUAAAAAAAAUACAUCUAGACUGUAUUGAAACUUAUAAGAGAAGAAGGUUGUGUCUGUACAACAGUCAGUGGGACUUAUACAUAGUCCUUCAAUACACAAGGGGAGAAACACGCGAGGAACUAAUAUCAAUGUAAAAACUCAGCCUAAACUGACCCAAAUAACUUUUGAAUCCAUUUUCACUUGUCCUAAAAUAAUUAAUCUAAAUUAUUUAGUAGUUUCAUGCUAGCUAAUAUAUACAAUUCCAUUUUUUUGUAAUUUUCCGAUUUGGGACGUUUCAUUCUCCUUUGCUAAAUUUUUAUGACGUCCUCAUCGCAGCUGAAUCGGAUACAAUUGUCAAGUCGGGAUCAGAUCCUAGGGUAUUGUGGUUCACUAGUACGUCGGACGGCUCCACCUCGUCUCGUAUGGGUAGUCCCUUCCUCGUAGACCCAUUAGUUUCGCACAAUUUUUCUGAUCCAGAGUAGUUUUGAUACCAAUUGUAACACUCUGACCAAACUCAUCCAAAUAAUUUUUAGACUCAUUUUCUACUUGACCCAAAAUAAUUAACUAAAAUUAUU